rnacentral:rRNA from 1 species
AACGAACGCCGGCGGCAGGCUUAACACAUGCAAGUCGAGCGCCCCGCAAGGGGAGCGGCAGGCGGGUGAGUAACGCGUGGGAAUCUACCCAUCUCUACGGAAUAACGCAUGGAAACGUGUGCUAAUACCGUAUACGUCCUUCGGGAGAAAGAUUUAUCGGAGAUGGAUGAGCCCGCGUUGGAUUAGCUAGUUGGUGGGGUAAAGGCCUACCAAGGCGACGAUCCAUAGCUGGUCUGAGAGGAUGUUCAGCAACCCUGGGACUGAGACACGGCCCAUACUGGUAAGGGAGGCAGCAGUGGGGAAUAUUGGACAAUGGGCGCAAGCCUGAUCCAUCCAUGCCGCGUGAGUGAUGAAGGCCCUAAGGUUGUAAAGCUCUUUCACCGGUGAAGAUAAUGACGGUAACCGGAGAAGAAGCCCCGGCUAACUUCGUACCAGCAGCCGCAGUAAGAC